rnacentral:rRNA from 1 species
GGUAGUAAGCCUAAAACCACUAUACGCUGGCGGUCUUUACCCCCUAGAGAAACUCGCUUCAUAAUCGAAAACACCCGAUAAAUUUCACUUAGUUUCAAAGUAUGUAUACCGCCAUUUAAAAAUCAUAAAAAAAUAAAUCUUAAACUCUUAAUAAACACAUAAUUAGGUCAAGGUGCAGCCAAUAAUUAAGAAGAAGUAAGUUACAUUAAGAACAACUUAAGGACGCUAUAUAAAAACCAACCCAAAAAAGAAUUUAAAAGUACAUCAGGAUUAAAAUUCCUCAUAGAAUUAUA